GCCCAUCGUCGCAGUCUACGUCGACGGGUGGUCUGCUGGGGAGUCGCCCGUACGGCACGGGGCGGCAGGGACGAGAGGA
rfam:Olsenella sp. oral taxon 807 strain F0089, complete genome.